ensembl:misc_RNA Metazoa_SRP Metazoan signal recognition particle RNA
GCUGGGUGUGGUGGUGCACGCCUGUAGUCCCAGCUACUUGGGAGGCUGAGGCAGGAGAAUCGCUUGAACCCAGGAGGCAGAGGUUACAGUGAACUGAGAUCAUGCCACUGCACUCCAGCCUGGGCAACAGAGCGAGACUCUGUCUCAA